UUUUUUUUGAAUCUUCAAGUCUCUUUUUUAAUUUUAGUUUUUUUUCUUUCGAUUUCAAUUUUUUUAAUUUUAAUGCCCAAAAAAAAAACAUUUGUGGAAACAGAUUUUAAAUAUUCAAAUAAUCUCCUCAUUAUUAAUUCGGAAGUACAUUUAUAGAAUAAACCUUAUUAAGGGUAAAUAAUUACAUUAAAAUGUCAUUACAUAAAUAGGGUUACAAAAA
rnacentral:lncRNA from 1 species